GCUCCCCAGAGCCUGCUCCUGGUGCAGGAGAUCCAGAGCUGUUAGGCUCUCUGUUGCUGCUCUCUGCUGGUGAGGCUGGCCAUCAUCCCUCAACAUCUGCAACACCUCCACUGCCUCCUCCUGUGAGAUACCUGCCUCUAGCUGAAGAGGACGCAUGUCAAUCAAGUCUGACGCCACUUGGAAACCCGCGUUGAUGAGCUUCACCUUCACCGAAGGCGCCAAAGGGAGGCUGGGCACAGUCCUGUGCAUCUUACUGACACUGACACUGACACGGACGAGCACCAAGCUGAAAAUACGUUUUACACACGGUUGUCGGUUCUAUGCCAGUUUAGGACAAAUGACAACAAAUUCUAGCCAUUCGAAAAUAUCUUUCUUUGGGAGGAUACACUUAAAAUCACUCUUUGAAGAAUUUACUAUCGAAAGAAUAGUUUUAUGAAAUCAAAAUAUAAAGAUAUGAGGACUUCUGUUUCUCCAUGUAUUUUUUCCCCUUUGAUACUCCCUCCAAAACAAGAAACGAAGUGGAAUGUGGAAAAGUCUCUUCAAAAUAAAAGUCCCAAGACGACGUCAAUGACGCAUUUUA